rnacentral:lncRNA from 1 species
GUGGCCUGGCGAGUGAGCCGCUCCCUUACCUCUGUCCAGGGUGAGCGGCUGGACCACUGUCAAUGUCGCCAUGUCUGCCGUGGGAGCCGAAGUGACGCUCGGCUUCAGCAUCAGCAACCGCUCGUAGUGAGAAAAAAAGGAGGAGAUUGGGGGCGGGGGUGGAGAGGGAAGACGGAAAGGAGGGGGAGGAGGGGGAAGGAAGGAAGGUGGUGGUGGUGGAGAAGAAAGCUUGGGUGGGUUGGUAGCCAGAUGGAGACGCAACUGUUCCGCGGCGGCAGAUCUUCAGUUGCGGUGCGGAGCUGAGCAGGUAUCCGAGAGCGACUGCAUCGCCGGGCUCUGGGAGGGAAGGCUCUGCCCUAGAACUUUGCUAUUCCACCCCCAGGAGCGCUGGGUGGGUGUAGCUGGCGGGCUGCUUCCUUUCAACUUUCCACUCUAAUAAAAUGGUCAGAAUAUACGUGUGUGCAUGCGUGUGCGUGUGUGUAUCAGGGGAAGAGAGAGGAUGGAAAGGGGAUAUGGGGAAGGGAGUGGGAGAUGAGUUUUCUCAGAUUAAGAGAAAUUGCCAAUCCAAUAAUCCCAUCCCCUUUAGAGAGAAAAUGCUUCCAUUAUCAGAAAUGUUUGGGAUGUAAUUACAUUUGCAGUUAAUUUCUGUUGAAGUUUUUCGGAAUGUUGACCUAUAACGGCAUAUAAAGAUAACUGACUAAAGGCCAGCGUUCCAUCAGUAGGUGUUCAUUUAGGACCUGAGUAUAUUGCCUGGAGAAAAAAAAAAAAAAGGCAAACCUCUUAAAAGUGCUUCAAAAUAAAAAACGUGUAGGUAAGGAAAUUCGUACAGAGAGAGGCGAAGGAACAUGACCACUUUCUCCAAUAAGCCAGACUCCAAACCCCACCUUUCUUCUUUUCAAGAAACGACAUUAAGGAACCCAUCAGGGACCAUAGCAACUUUUAUUCACUGUUCAAAGGCUAACUCAACUAUCACCAUCCCAGUCUGUUCCUUGUUUAUAGUUCUGAUAUUAGUAUUCAAGGUUGGCAAUUGUUUAAACACCAGCAGUUUACCUUAUCACCAGGAUUUGAACUGAUACGACUACUUCUUUGAAUAAAACUCUAAUAUGGACAAAGCAGAUAGAGACACC